rnacentral:rRNA from 5 species
CCGCGACCCCAGGUCAGG